rnacentral:rRNA from 1 species
AACGAACGCUGGCGGCAUGCCUAACACAUGCAAGUCGAACGAGAUCUUCGGGUCUAGUGGCGCACGGGUGCGUAACGCGUGGGAAUCUGCCCUUUGGUUCGGAAUAACAGUUGGAAACGACUGCUAAUACCGGAUGAUGACGAAAGUCCAAAGAUUUAUCGCCAGAGGAUGAGCCCGCGUAGGAUUAGCUAGUUGGUGUGGUAAAGGCGCACCAAGGCGACGAUCCUUAGCUGGUCUGAGAGGAUGAUCAGCCACACUGGGACUGAGACACGGCCCAGACUCCUACGGGAGGCAGCAGUGGGGAAUAUUGGACAAUGGGUGAAAGCCUGAUCCAGUAAUGCCGCGUGAGUGAUGAAGGCCUUAGGGUUGUAAGGCUCUUUUACCCGGGAUGAUAAUGACAGUACCGGGAGAAUAAGCUCCGGCUAACUCCGUGCCAGCAGCCGCGGUAAUACGGAGGGAGCUAGCGUUGUUCGGAAUUACUGGGCGUAAAGCGCACGUAGGCGGCUUUGUAAGUUAGAGGUGAAAGCCUGGAGCUCAACUCCAGAACUGCCUUUAAGACUGCAUCGCUUGAAUCCAGGAGAGGUGAGUGGAAUUCCGA